UACGUAGGGUGCGAGCGUUAAUCGGAAUUACUGGGCGUAAAGCGUGCGCAGGCGGCUCGCUAAGCCAGAGGUGAAAUCCCCGGGCUCAACCUGGGAAUGGCCUUUGGGACUGGCGGGCUCGAGUGCGGCAGAGGGGGGUGGAAUUCCUGGUGUAGCAGUGAAAUGCGUAGAUAUCAGGAGGAACACCGAUGGCGAAGGCAGCCCCCUGGGCCAGCACUGACGCUCAUGCACGAAAGCGUGGGGAGCAAACAGG
rnacentral:rRNA from 1 species